rnacentral:rRNA from 1 species
AGUGAACGCUGGCGGCGUGCCUAAUACAUGCAAGUCGAACGGAGUGGCGCACGGGUGAGUAAUAUGUAGCUAAUCUGCCCCUUGCUGGGGGACUAACGUUAGAAAUGACUGCUAAUACCCCAUAGCAAGGGAUGAGACUAUAUCGUAUCAGCUAGUCGGUGGGGUAACGGCCUCCCGCGGGUAUGAUGCGUAACUGGUGUGCGAGGAUGAUCAGUCACAUUGGAACUGAGACACGGUCCAAAAUCCUACGGGAGGCGGCAGUAGUGAAGAGUGCGCAAUGGGGGAAACCCUGACGGAGCAACGGCGCGUGGAGUAUGACACUGGUCGGAGCGUAAACUCCUUUUAUUAGGGAAGCGGUACCUGACGAAUAAGCACCGGCUAACUCCGUGCCAGCCGCCGCGGUAAUUC